rnacentral:pre_miRNA from 1 species
UGGCUACAAAAUAAUUUAUUUUGUAGCCACUUUGAGUUACGAUAAUGACUAUAUAAUUUACAAGAUUAUAGUAACUCCUUAAGUGGUUUACUAUAACAUUACGGUAAAUAUCCCCAUGUGCUAUAGUAACCCAAUAUACAUAUUACUGUAAAUUAGUGUAUAAAAUUAUCGUAAAUGGAGGUGGCUACAGAAUAACAUAUUUUGUAGCUA